rnacentral:lncRNA from 1 species
GUUUGAUUUCUUUUUAUCAAGAAACUAUGGAGGAGUAUAUGUUGGCCUACCAUCUGAAGCUGUCAAUAUGGUGUCCAGUCAAACAAAGAUGGUUCGGAAAAAUUAGAAGAAAAUAACAUCAUGACUCAAGAAUCAAGAGCUUGCUCAUCAGUUUGGAAGGAAUUUGGCUCCGUGGGACAUUGUAAUGUGCACAGACAUUUCCAAGGAAAUUCUAAACAGUCACCCUUCCCUUUUGCAUUCCCCCAAAUCUUAAGUGUAUACAUAAAACCCUGGGUACAUAUUGUUGUGGUAAUAGAAGGGAAUUGGUUAAACAGUACACUUGUUUAUGGAACUUUCUGUGGCCACCUACGAAAGACAAGUUAACAAACUGUCAUGGAGGCUGUUGUUGCCCAGCCAGGGCCGCUGCAUUUUGACAACAUUUCCACCCUGGCCACUCAGCACAUUUCAUGGAGGUCAUGUCUUUUCACUGAUACUUUUUUGAUAGUUUUUAUAUAACAAAAUCCUUAUUCUAUUUAUAACUUAGGAUGAUAAGGCACUAUAAAUUAAUGACCUAAAA